GCUGGUGGCAACCUUGCCUCCAUUCAGGGAAAGGCUGAAUAAGAAUAAAACCAAAGUGGAGAACAGCAGAGCCUAGAGGUGGGGAGAGAGAGAUUUCUGCCACGUUGUUUAAGCACUGUGCUUAAACACAAGCCAAUACACUUAAUUUUUAUUUCUGCCAGCUAGAGUUAGUAAGUUGGCCUGGGUUCCCAGAAAGCAAAGCCUGAGGCCAAGGCCUAUUUGCUGCUAGUUUUAAGGGAGGGCAGUCCCAGAGAGCAGGAAUGAGAGACUGGGGAGUGGGGUGAGAAGGAGCCACUGUCAAUAUGAGGAUGCCCCAUCUUGCAGGACCAUCCUCUCAAAGGCCGCAUCAAUUUCAUCUCAGGACAGUCCAUUGAGGGAAAAAUGACUAUACUCAUUUUGGCCUUUUUUGGGAACUUUGCAACUCAAGUUUCAAGGAAGCAUGGAGAAAGGCAAGCUUAUAUCUUGUGUUGUUUACCCCCAGAAGGAGCCCCACCCUGGCCAGGAUUGCUCCAGGCUUCCUGGAGGAGGCCAUCUCUUCCUUGAAUGUAUAGGAGGAGUCUACACUUGUCCUUGGAAACUCACCUCCACUUCCUUCUGUCUAUUGGAGUCUUCCCAAGCUAUUCUGCAGGUCAUGUUCACGGCAGACGAGUCAGCGUGCAGUAUCAUCAAAGGCAAAUAUUUCACCAAAGUUCAGAUAGAGAAAGAUGGCAAGAGAAUGUGUGGUCCCGCCAGAUGAUGGCUUUUGCAGCCUCCGUCUCCUUCCCACCCAACUUGCAACAAUAUGCAUUAGCAGAGGGCCGGCCCGUGGCUUGGCGGUUAAGUGGCGCGCUCCGCUGCGGGCGGGCCGGGUUCGGAUCCCGGGUGCGCACCGACGCACCGCUCCUCCGGCCAUGCUGAGGCCGUGUCCCACAUGCAGCAACUAGAAGGAUAUGCAGCUAUGACAGACAACUAUCUACUGGGACUUUGGGGGAAAAAAUAAAUAAAUAAAAUCUUUAAAAAAAAAUGCAUUAGCAGUAAGUGUGGUAGUAAAUAAACAAUUAACAGUUUCAUUACAUAUUUUCUGUAUAUUUUGGGAGUACACAGUGACAUUGAUUGGCUCAUUAAAAUAAUGGGUAGGUGGUUAAAAAGGAGUUUAUUAUUCAAAACCAAAAAAUAAAUAAAUUAACAGUGAUAAUGUCAGUGACUCAAAUAAUGGUUCAUUAUCCAAAAAAAAUCAAGCUGAAAAUACAUGUUUCUCCCAUUAAACCACACACCAGUGAUUCACAGUGAUUCAGUUUCAGUAAAACGUCAUCCAUCACGUUGAUUUAAUGUUGUUAAUUUGAAGUUCCUGACUUUUUGUUUGUAUUUUUAAGUUUAUUUUAGUUGUUAAAGCUGAGGCAGCAUAAGAACUGUUUAAGAAUGGAAAUUUAACAGUUUUGUUUUUCGUCCUUUUCUUCCUUGCCUUGGAAGGAUUCAACACGAUCUAGGAAGCGAGUCUCUCCUCCACCCUCAAGUAUGUACCCUGGUGCGAAUAUUUCUUUCCUUUCCAGUAGCAGAUGAAGAAUGAGUCAUUCCAGCCCUCGGGCAAGGGAAACCAGUUUUUCAGCAGGUAAGGAGUUAGUGUCCAGUUUUAUGGGCCCAUCAGGGUCUGGUAGGAGAGAAAAGAGAGUGGUGCUUCUGUGUGGAGGGAUUAAGAGGAAAGGACUGUGUGUGAGGCACUAUUGAAAGCCCAGGGGCCGUGCUGGAAACGCCCCAGCUUCCGCCAGAAGACUCGGGAUACAGAGGCCUCUGUCAUCGGCAUGCAGGAUGGAGUCAGGUUCUCGCCAGGGGCUGCCCAGCAGAGACCACACCCAGUGAUGCCACAAGACCGUAUUCUGUCCCCGUGUGACUAUGCAAUGUGACGCCUCCUUGAAACGCUCCAGGACCCCUGAGAGCCCAAAGGGCAUGCCUGGCCACCCAGGGGCUGGGAUGAGAGGAGGCGUCACAGCCGUGUUUAGUUGGAGGAUGACAUACUCAAGCUCGAGGCCCCCAACCUGGGACAGUGAUUGGAGAUGACCCCGUCACCAAUCAACCCUGUCGGGAAAACACCCCUGAGGAGGGGGCACUGCCCAGCCGCUGCUGGUACACGUGAGAGGGCACAACGGAGCAGGUUCGGAGGAGCUGAAGGAAUCUGGAGGCGGGGACUGACCGUUGUUGCCAAGACAAUGUGGAUAGGAAAGUUAAGCAGCAGGAAAGAUGUCUCUUCUCUCCUCCUCCCUGCCAGUCUUGCUCUAGAUGGGCUGGACCCGUCAGAAAGCCAGCUGGCCAAGGAGUCUGCAAUGUAGUUUUCAGCGUCCCAGCCCCAGGGCAAGCAGACAGGUGGGCUUGGGGCUGAGAGACACUAAGCCAGUGACCACCAAGCCACCUUUAGGGCUAGGGAGGAGUUAAUAUCCUGCGUCUCAUUCAGGACUCUUCGUUGCAAGCCACAGAAGCCACUCUGGCAAUCGAAGCUGGAAAGGAAUUUACCAAAGGCUACUGGGUGUUUCACAGAACUGGCUUGAGAACCGAGAUUAGAAAUUGGGCCAGAACCACGAGAGAACCAGACCAGAAAGGACACCACUGCCAUCUAGCCUCUCAUGCUGUUGCCAUGGUCUGAUCGAUUCUGUUAUUUUCCAGGAAGGAGUCCUUCUCCCCUCUCCCACCCCCCAUCUCCCCGCCCCACUGACUUUGGGCUUGGCCGUGUACUUGCACUGACCCACGGAGUCUGGGCAAAGUGACCGCGUGUCCUUUCUGAGCAGUCUUUCUGCCCCGCUCUCCUGCUCCUGCCAUCCUGCGUGAGAUGAACGUACUCCAGGGAGCUGCUGCUCCUUCAGCCCCAGCACUGGAAUAAGACGAGGAGCACACCUGAACCUAACCCACAGCCUGGAGCCCAGCCCGUCAGAACCCAGCAGAAACCAGCCAAGCCGAAGUCCCCCAGCAACCCAUCCACAGAACUGUGAGUGAGAGACACACGAUUGUUAUUAGAAGCCACCAAGAUUUGGGGGUGUUUGUCACCAUGGUAGAAGUUGACAAAUACACAUGACCAGCUAGAAGAAUCUCCCCUCCCUUGCUUCUUUAUGAAAAAGCUCUAGCUCCAGAUACAAAAUCCUAUGUGGGAGUGUUGGAAGGGCCCAGCCCAGUCACACACCUG